rnacentral:rRNA from 1 species
UUCGCCCUUAGAGUUUGAUCCUGGCUCAGGAUGAACGCUAGCUACAGGCUUAACACAUGCAAGUCGAGGGGCAGCAUGACGAUUGCUUGCAAUUGUUGAUGGCGACCGGCGCACGGGUGAGUAACGCGUAUCCAACCUUCCCUCUACUCAGGGAUAGCCCAGCGAAAGUUGGAUUAAUACCUGAUGUUGUCGUUUGAUCGCAUGAGAUGAUGACCAAAGAUUUAUCGGUAGAGGAUGGGGAUGCGUCUGAUUAGCUUGUUGGCGGGGUAACGGCCCACCAAGGCGACGAUCAGUAGCCGGACUGAGAGGUUGAUCGGCCACAUUGGGACUGAGACACGGCCCAGACUCCUACGGGAGGCAGCAGUGGGGGAUAUUGCACAAUGGGCGAAAGCCUGAUGCAGCGACGCCGCGUGAGGGAAGACGGUUUUCGGAUUGUAAACCUCUGUCUUCGGGGACGAAAAAGGACGGUACCCGAGGAGGAAGCCACGGCUAACUACGUGCCAGCAGCCGCGGUAAUACGUAGGUGGCAAGCGUUGUCCGGAAUUACUGGGUGUAAAGGGAGAGUAGGCGGGAUUGCAAGUCCGUUGUUAAAUCUAUCGGCUCAACCGGUAGCUGCGGCGGAAACUGUAGUUCUUGAGUGAAGUAGAGGCAGGCGGAAUUCCUAGUGUAGCGGUGAAAUGCGUAGAUAUUAGGAGGAACACCAGUGGCGAAGGCGGCCUGCUGGGCUUUAACUGACGCUGAGGCUCGAAAGUGUGGGGAGCAAACAGGAUUAGAUACCCUAGUAGUCCACGCCCUAAACGAUGAUUACUAAAAGUUGGGGGAAACUCAGUGUUUGUAGCUAACGCAAUAAGUAAUCCGCCUGGGGAGUAUGCACGCAAGUGUGAAACUUAAAGGAAUUGACGGGGCCCCGCACAAGCGGUGGAGUAUACGGUUUAAUUUGACGCAACGCGAAGAACCUUACCAGGCCUUGACAUCCCUUGCAAAACUAUAGAGAUAUAGCAGAGGUUAUCAAGGUGACAGGUGGUGCAUGGUUGUCGUCAGCUCGUGUCGUGAGAUGUUGGGUUAAGUCCCGCAACGAGCGCAACCCUUGUCCUUAGUUACCAUCAUUUAGUUGGGGACUCUAAGGAGACUGCCGAUGUAAAUCGGAGGAAGGUGGGGAUGACGUCAAAUCAUCAUGCCCUUUAUGUCCUGGGCGACACACGUGCUACAAUGGCCGGUACAAAGAGAUGCAAUAUCGCGAGAUGGAGCAAAACUCAUAAAGCCGGUCUCAGUUCAGAUUGAAGUCUGCAACUCGACUUCAUGAAGUCGGAAUUGCUAGUAAUCGCAGAUCAGCCAUGCUGCGGUGAAUACGUUCCCGGGCCUUGUACACACCGCCCGUCA